rnacentral:RNase_P_RNA from 1 species
GCAGGCGGCUGGAUGAUCGCUGCCGUCUUCGCCGCAAGGUGUUGGACGGGGGAGGAAAGUCCGAACUCCGCAGGGCAGUGUGCCGGAUAACGUCCGGGACGGAUGGUUCAAGCCAUCCGGACGGCCAGUGCAACAGAGAGCGAACCGCCUUUUGCCGCGCAAGCGACAGAAGGUAAGGGUGAAAAGGUGCGGUAAGAGCGCACCGCGCACGGCGUAAGCAGUGCGGCAUGGUAAACCCCACACGGAGCAAGACCAAAUAGGCAGGGAACUCGUCCGCUCCUCUUCAGGCGGACAGUGCGUAUCGGCCCGAUGCGCCCAGGCGAAGAGACUUGUGAAAGCAAGAGCCGAAACCUGCGGGUAGGUUGCUGGAGCGCCGCAGUAAUGCGUCGCCUAGAGGAAUGAUCGUCUAAAACAAAAUUCGGCUUACGGGCCGUCUGCAAAC